CACACUUUUUUUUUUUUUUUUUUUACUUUUUCUGAACAUUAAACAAGAAAUAACCAAAACAAAACUUUUUCCAGCAGGCUUUAAAGAAAAAAAAAAGUGACAAACAAUAACUGAGAGUGAAACAAAAAAUAAAUAAGUACUAUAAAUAUGUCAAAAAUAUAACUUCUAUGAUACAAAAUAAUAUAUAUAUAUAUAUAUAAAAUGUGUUUAAAAAUGAACAAUGUACACUGUUUUCUUAUUAAAGCUUCUGAACAUUGAAACUCUCAAGCAAAAUUAUUUUUUUUCAGUGAAUAACGAAAAAAAAAUAAUGAAAACUUACUUUACAGUUUAUACUCCAUCAACUUUGUUAUAAAAUGAACAAAGCUGAACAAUUAAGAACAUUACUGCUACAGAUUAGAAGGCAGUCUAAGCUGACCCAAUGAAAAAGAAAGAAACAGAGAUAUGACAGCUUAGACUUUUUGUGUAUUUACAGCUGGUUAGAACCUCAUUGUUCAAAAACACUGACCUGUGACAAGGACAAUGAGAAAAGUUUGGCUCAAAAGUUAGUCACAUUUACAGUAAAGAUCCUUAAAUUGUGUGAUUUAUAGAAAUUAGAUUAUUUAUCUACUGCAUUUGAUUAUUACAAAAUGCCUUAAUGGGAAGGUAACUCAUUCGGAUUCCAAAUGUUAAAGUUACAAGGAAAGUUUGUAUGUAGUAGUCCUAGCAUAUUAGAUAAUGAAAUGAAAGACAUGUAAAUAAUAAUAAAAUAAGUCUUUCUAUAUUAAACUAAAACAAGUUACAGCAUUGGCAUAAAUAUUUUUAAAAUUCAGCAGUGUUCCAAUAUUAAAAUAUUACGUAUUUAGAAUGGCUUCAAUUGAUUAGCAAACCAAAUCGAUUCUGUACAUGAGCAGAAAUAAUAUCCCACACUGAAAAUGUAGCGCUUUGUGAAAGGUCUGCCCCUAAGAAUGGUACUUUUACCCCCCAUUCUGUCCAGAAACAUUGGCAGAUCAAGACAGCCAAGAUUAAGAUUUUGGCUUCAAUAAAUAAAGUUCUAUUUUUAUUUGCCAAGAAAAAUUUAGCUCUGAGCUGAGGAAAAAAAAACUUACUUAAAAUAUUUAGGCAUACCGGUAUUAGAUUUUUAAAAAACGUCAGAAAAAAAAAAUCUCAAUUUCAAGCCAAGGAAAACAAAACUAAUUCUACAUAAUAGCAGUGGGUUUUUUUCUGACUAUAAAAUGCAUUGACAGUAGUUAAGGUUUAAUGGAACUCAAAUAAUAAAAGAUGUACGUAGCACGAUCAGUCAUCUUCAUUGUAUCAGAUUUAUAUCAGAUGUGAGAACCACUGAUUGAAACAUUCCUAUUAUGCUGAGUUUUCUUUUUUUUUUAAGUUUCUUGUUUUAUUCUCAGGCCAUUUCACAUGGUAAUGCCAUUUCUAAAAACUGAGAAAACAAAAUGGAAUGUCGGAAAGCUAAUACAAUGACUAGGAUGCAUUAGUUCUGUCGGUGAGAACAAGACAAAUGUAUGCAAGCAGCAUUACUAGAUUUAUAUACACAAUAGAAAGAUAAUAACUCAUUUAUAAAUUGCGAAUGAUAAUGUUGGUGAUGUAUAUCUUUUUUUAAAAAUUUUUUUUAAACUGUACUGUCUGUAAAUAAGUAUUUAUUUAUACAAAACAUUUAAUAUAUUUCUAAUGUCUCUACUGAGGUACAAAUGAAAACAAACAAAAACUCUCCCAUACUGUUUCAAGAUUUUCUCUCAGUCAACUAAAAUUCCAGGAUAGAAAGACUAUGUUUUGGUUUGGAUUUCCAAUAACCACUAAAAAGAAAAAAGAAAGAAAUUACAGAAAACACUUCAUAGCACCAUAUUUUCAUGCUUAUAACCUGCACACAUGUAUACCCAACACAAAUUACUCAAUAAGCAAAAACAAAAUCAUAUAACCCGCAUGUGCAAAGCGUGACUUGCCGUAAAUUACACGCACAUUAAGUUGUUACUCAUCAAAUCUGUCUCUUGAAAUGCAAUCGCGCUUCAGCUGUUUCUCUAACAUAUGAUGAAACGUGUGAAAUACGAGCCUAUGUACACAGUGAACUAUAAAAAGCAUAAAUUCCCACCGGUAUGUCCGUAGUUUUCAUCAUGCUAUGUUUAUGAUGAGUUAAAUAAAUUUUGUAUACCCCCCCCCCCC